UUCAAGGCACUGGAUGCAAUUUUCCUUUUCUGUGGCUUUGACUCUGCCACUUGGCACUUGAUCUCUGACCGUGGCAAUCAUCUAGUUUUUUGUGUGUGUGCAGGGUGGGGGGAGGUUACUCAAGCCAAGAAGAGGUGGAACUUAUUUACUUAUUUUCUGACAAGAGAAUGACAGGCAAAGAGAUAAGCCCCUUUCCAGACCCCAAGGGCUGGAAAGGACCAUGUUAUCAGUAGGGGAUUCCAGAGAAACAGAACCAAUAGGAGAUGUGUGCGGGGGGCAUAUGUGUAUAUAUACAGAGGGACAGAGCAACAGACUCCAGUGCGGGCAGGCACAGAGCACACAGAACACAAGACGGAGGAAGGAAGAGGUAUUCACUCCUUCUCCCGCCUCACCGCCCGGCUGGGACAUCCCGUCUCCUUUCCUGCGCUCCAUCUGGGAUGUACGCCAUCGGCUCCCCUGCUUCUCAGGCCUUUGACCUGGGACUGAAUGACAUCAGCAGCUUUCCUGAGUCUCUAACUUGCAGACGGCCGACUGCGAGACUUCUAAGCCUCCAGAAUCAACACUUCGGGGUGACAGCAAGCAGGAAGACUAACUGCUCCCCUGCUGACCCUGCCCCCAGGUUGUACGGACAAGCUGAGAGAGCGCCCACCUGCCUCCCCAUACCCCAGCCCCCACCCAAACCCGCUCUGCCCUGACUAGGCCAUUGUUCUCGGGCCCCUACUGGAUGCCAAGCCUUUUACAUACAUUCCCUACUACACACAAGGGUUACACUAGCCCCAUUUCACAGAUGAGGAAUGUGAGGGCAGGGAGGUGAAUACGAUUUACAUAUGACAACACAGGAGGGUUUUUAUUCCCAGCUUGUCCCUCAGCAAAGGAGUCCCUCCUCCUCCAAGUCCGUGGCAAGCCUUUCACGUCAAUGGCACCCUCACCGUCACUCCGGCACAGAUCUGCAAGCACGACCCGAGGAGGAACCCCAGCCUGGUGUCUCGUGCUGUGGCUGGCGACAGAUCAGAGGUUCUCAGCAUGUGGUCCAUGGGCACAAGACCCUCAGGGGAUCUGUGAGGUCAAAACAAUUUCCGUACGAACCCUGAGACGCCACUCAGUGACUCAGUUCACUGUGGGGACAUGUGUCCCCCAGACGUGGUAACAGCAUGGGCACCUGCGCACGCUGGCUCACCCAGGAGCGUCCAAGCAAUUCCACACACGUGCAGCCCUUUUAACUUUGUGUGAUAACGUGGGACCCAAGCGGAGCACACUUCUGUGCUCCGUCUCCAGGAAGAGCACUGUGAGGUUGGGUUCUGAGCAAAACCAGCCGCUCUUUUCAUUGAACGACUCAUUGGAGACUCAGUUAUCUGGACUCGGGUCUCAGUCCCUCAAUAAUGAGGGAAGUGAGCUUCAAGGGAAGCAACUGACAGUGUUCACUGCCAUUGACAAAAUGUGAGCUUCCGUGGGAAAACCUGGAUUUGGGGAAACUUGAAUCCACCACGAGCUUGGUGGCAUUUUAGAUUUUUUCUGAUGAGACUGUGAUGAACAUAAUAUGUUCCUUUUCUUCUGCAUCAUGACAUGUGUCCAUGUGUGGAAGAUUUGUAUAACAUGGUGAAUCAGUACGUCCCAAAUGACCAAUGCAUCACGUUACAAAAUCACGCCUGGGUAAAAGAUCCAGUCACAGUGCCAGAUGCGGGAGGGGAUUUAAUGUAACUGACUGAAAAAGUCACUGAUAUGGUUUGAUUCCAAAUUGCAACUGACCUUUAAAAAAUUGUCACUUCCUGAGCUUUGAGGAAGUAUCAAAGAACAUCCAGUCAUCUGAAAAGGCUACUAGAAUGCAUUUCUGAAUGCACUUCUAGGUAAAGAUGGAUUUUCUUCAAACAACUUGUUGCAGCAAAUUGAAAGGAGAUGUGAGAAUCUGUUUCUGAAGACAGGUAUUAAAGAGAUCUGCAAAACUGUA